rnacentral:rRNA from 3 species
GGGGGAACUGAAACAUCUAAGUACCCCGAGGAAAAGAAAUCAACCGAGAUUCCCCCAGUAGCGGCGAGCGAACGGGGAGGAGCCCAGAGCCUGAAUCAGCAUGUGUGUUAGUGGAAGCGUCUGGAAAGGCGCGCGAUACAGGGUGACAGCCCCGUACACAAAAGCGCAUGUGCUGUGAGCUCGAUGAGUAGGGCGGGACACGUGGUAUCCUGUCUGAAUAUGGGGGGACCAUCCUCCAAGGCUAAAUACUCCUGACUGACCGAUAGUGAACCAGUACCGUGAGGGAAAGGCGAAAAGAACCCCGGCGAGGGGAGUGAAAAAGAACCUGAAACCGU